UACGUAGGGUGCGAGCGUUGUCCGGAAUUAUUGGGCGUAAAGAGCUCGUAGGCGGUUCGUCGCGUCGGCUGUGAAAACCCGGAGCUCAACUCCGGGCCUGCAGUCGAUACGGGCGGACUUGAGUGUUGCAGGGGAGACUGGAAUUCCUGGUGUAGCGGUGAAAUGCGCAGAUAUCAGGAGGAAUACCCGUGGCGAAAGCGGCUCUCUGGGACGGUACUGACGCUGAGACGCGAAAGCGUGGGGAGCAAACAGG
rnacentral:rRNA from 1 species